GAGACGAGAGGAUGGGCAGCGGCGGCGCGCAAGGAUGCCGCACCCCCGCCGCCAAUGCCGGCAUUUGUGCCGCGAGCGAAAUCGAGCGAUGGUGUCAACACGGUAGUAGUGGAUGCGAAUGCGCUCAUCCGGGGGAUUUCCAUCUCGGGGCUCAAGUACGAGCUUUGCACCGUCAAGGAAGUCGUGAAUGAGGUCCGGGAUCCACGAUCGCGAGCGCAGCUCAGCGCGCUUCCAGUGGAAUUGGCGAUCUUGGAGCCCUCUCCGGAAUCUCUAGCCAAAGUGGCCGAGUUUGCUCGAGCAACCGGUGAUAUACAGGCUCUAUCCGCGAUCGAUCUCAAGGUUUUGGCUUUGGCUCACACUCUCGAAGUCCAGGUCCAUGGUGGCGAUUCUCACCUUAGAAAUCGGCCGCCACCGCUCGUUCGGCGCGUAGCGAAAAAGAAUCACGAGCCCGAGCCGCCUGGCUGGGGAUCAAACGUUCCAAAUCUCGACGAGUGGGAGGAAAUUGCUGAGGAACACGAGGAUGAAGGAGACAAGAAUGAGUCUCACAUCCUUGGGCUCAAGGAUCUCAGCUUGGGCGACGCUCAAAGUCCAUGUCCUGUGACAGAUCAAGGAGAGGAGGAUAUCAAGGAAUGCAUGGAUUGUUGCAGUGACGGCGAAGUACCUGCCACGGAUUUAAGUCCGGAGGAGGCUCGACUUCGUAGCAUGCAGGAAGAAGAUGGUGUUUUUGAAGAUCAAGGGAAGGACGAAUGCAAAGAUGGUAACAGCGACGAUGAAACAAACGGCGAAGCCACCACGGAUCUAAGCCAGGAGGAGGGUCGUCUUCAUACCAUGCAACGACGUGAAGCCAGUGAAAAUGUUUCAGAGGAUCAAGAAGAGCCCGAGGGAGAAGAAGCUCCGUCGGUGACGGAUGGAACUGAAAGCGAGGAAAGCUGGUCGGUGCUUCGACCGCUCUCCAUGUCGAGCAUCGCCUGCAUGACAACAGACUUCGCGAUGCAAAAUGUGAUCCUGCAAAUGGGACUGCGUUUACUCACUCCAAAUGGGAUUCAAGUUCGCGAGCUCCAAAGGUGGGUUCUCAGGUGCCAUGCGUGCAACACCGUGACUAGAGACGUGGGCCGCGUCUUCUGUCCCAAGUGUGGGAAUGGAGGAACUUUAUCUCGUGCUUCGGUGAGCGUGGGACCAAACGGCACGGUGAUAGGAGCGUCCAAGCGCAGGAUAAACAUUCGUGGCACGAGAUACUCGCUGCCUCUGCCGAAGGGCGGCAGGGAAGGCGCUGCUCAAAAUCCCAUUUUGAGAGAGGAUCAGUUGCCUCACAGGAUCCUCCAUCCCAAGAAAUCGUCAAAAGCACCAGAUGAUGAUCUGGACUACAUCUCUUCCUUUGACGACGUGCUCCGGCCCAGGGGCAAAGAAUCCUUCCAAAGCUCCGCAGCAUCAAUGAGAAAUCUGGCCUCCCAGUUCUCCGGACGAAGGAAUCCAAACGAUUUGCACUACUCGAAGCACCGACGUCGAUGAAAAGAGAAAGAAGAAGAAGAGAUGGAAAAAAAAAACUUUUUCUCCUUUCUUUGUCGAGGUGGACGGUAGAGAUCUCGCCGCGUGGGUGGCGGAGCUCGUUGGAAAUGUGACUAGGCAGUGAAGGAAGGGAGCGUUCUUUUUAGGGUU